GUAUUCACUUCAGCAGCACAUACAUUAAAAUUGGAACAAUACAGAGAAGACUCACAGGGCCCCUGAGCAAGGAUGGCAUGAAGCAUUCCAUAUUUUA
rnacentral:snRNA from 1 species